UACCAGCUCUCCGAGUGGUAGGGAUGAUUAUUGGGCUUAAAGCGUCCGUAGCCGGCUUAGCAAGUCUCCUGUUAAACUCAGCGACCUAAUCGUUGAAUCGCGGGAGAUACUACUAGGCUAGGAGGCGGGAGAGGUCGACGGUACUUCUGGGGUAGGGGUGAAAUCCUAUAAUCCCAGGAGGACCACCAGUGGCGAAGGCUGUCGACUAGAACGCGCUCGACGGUGAGGGACGAAAGCUGGGGUAGCGAACCGGAUUAGAUACCCGGGUAGUCCCAGCUGUAAACGAUGCGGGCUAGGUGUUGGGAUGGCUACGUGCCAUUUCAGUGCCGCAGGGAAGCCAUUAAGCCCGCCGCCUGGGGAGUACGGCCGCAAGGCUGAAACUUAAGGAAUUGGCGGGGAGCACCACAAGGCGUGAAGCUUGCGGUUC
rnacentral:rRNA from 1 species